CUUCAGUAUAAGAGCACCAGAUACAUAUUUAAAUUUUAUUAUUAGCUCCAUCCUGUGAGAAAAUUUCAGAUAUCAUGACAAUUAAAGCAUUCACCAUAAAAGUAUGAGCAUUCUAACAUGCAUUCUAGCAUGCUCUUAGCUUCAUCUGCCUCGUCCUGCAUCUCCCCCCACUCCCUCCCAACUGGUGAGACAGGAGGUGAAAUGCAAAGACAGCUGAGAUAUUACAAAGAAAAUGCUGGUGUGCUCCAAUUUAAGAACAAAAUAAUCUGAAAUUAACGAGAUUUGGAGACACUCCUGGACUCACCAAAUUUCAGGAAUCUCUUAGAGCUACCACACAGAAGAGAGGCUGCUCUAUCUUUCAGAAUCAAGGAAGCAAUAUUGUUACCUACAAUCAAUUCCUUCUGUUUGCCCAAGGUGUACAGAGUGGAAUUGCUCAGUAAUGCUGGAUACUGUUUAGGAACCCAGUGGUACAGGAGCAGAUCUGAGGUGUGUUACACACAGGCUUCCCUCUGACAACCAAGGCAUAAAAGCCACCAGAGCAGGCAAUUAUGCAUCAUCCAGCACAGCUACUCCAGACUCAGCUUCAUGCUCCAGGGCCAGGAGGUGGAAUGACUGCUGGACAGAUUCUCUCAUAUGCAACGCCAGCAUCCUCUGGUUCUUCUAUAGAACUCCAAAUCAAAUGUCAGUAAAUAAUUAAUACAAAUAAAAUAGCAAUUGUGUUUUGGUCACA